CCUACGGGCGGCAGCAGUGGGGGAUAUUGCACAAUGGGGGAAACCCUGAUGCAGCGACGCCGCGUGUGGGAAGACGGUCCUCUGGAUUGUAAACCACUGUCCCCAGGGACGAAGAUGACGGGACCGGGGGAGGAAGCGCCGGCUAACUACGUGCCAGCAGCCGCGGUAAGACGGAGGGAGCGAGCGUUGUCCGGAAUUACUGGGGGUAAAGGGAGCGUAGGCGGGACUGCAAGUUGGGUGUCAAAUCUACCGGCUCAACCGGUAGCCGCACUCAAAACUGCAGUUCUUGAGUGAAGGAGAGGCAGGCGGCAUUCCUAGUGUAGCGGUGAACUGCGUAGAUCUUAGGCG
rnacentral:rRNA from 1 species